CAUCUUAAAAUCCCCAAACCAAUUUCCAACUUUUAAUUUCCCUCCAAACUCAUCCCUACAGAUCUGAUCCACAAAUAUUUUAAUUUCAAAUCCAAGGAAGUUCAAAAAUCUGAAUUCUAUAGUUCCAACCUUCUUUAUUUCUGCCAAAAAAUCCAAAAACAAACUAAAAAUAUAGUAAAAAAUCUAAAAACACUGUUAAAUUGUGUUGUUUGAAGUUAAUUUUGAGUUCUAUUUCAAUUUUGAAUAAACUUGAGGUCAAACAAGUGUGAUUUGGGUUGUUUUGUUGUUGUUGAUUCUCUGUUACUCUUUCUUGGAUGUUGUAAUGUCGAUUUGGUCCUGAAAUUGGUCUUGUUUGAUGUUGAAUUGAGAUGCUGAUUGUUGUCUAAUACUGCGACUUACUUCUUUUCUUUUGUUCAUUCAAAUCCAGGUACACGUCUCAAAUUCCCCCUUUGAUAUAGCCUUUGGAAUGGAAGUGGAAUGAAAUAAUGUUUUUGCCUCUUGAUUGCUCCUUUGAUUGUUAUAUGUCUAUAGCUGGAUAGGUAUUAGUGAUAUAUAUGUCAUCUAGUGUACGCUUGGCUUGCUUGGAUUUUUAUUCAAAUGAACACUGGAUUGUUGAUUAUAGGACUGUUUGGACUCGUUUUGUAAAGGACUGUGAACUAAUUCGAUCUCAGUCAUGAAUCACCUGAGUUUUUUAUCAAGUAAUGUUAGAUUCGAGUUAAUCUGGUAUUGCUGUAUAUGUUGUCAUAUUUCACUUUAAAAUUGGGAAUCGAAUGCAAUCAAUAGUAGGUAUACUAGCCUGUUAGAGUUGCUGCAGUUAAUGUGUAAUGGUCUUAAAAUGCUCACUUUGGAAUUGGCUCAUAAAUAUUGCUAGGUGUUGCAUUGCUGAAAGGUUAAAUUGUUGGAUUAUGAUUGAUGUAUAGCCUGUUUGUUAGUCUAAUUGUUUACUCAAUUCAUGUUUCAUCCAUGUUUAAGUGUUAACAAAUGUAAAUGGGUUUAUAGGUCAAUCACUAUUAACUGAUACCAUAUUCUAAUGUAAAAUAGAUCAUCAAGUCCUCUCAUCUUUGUUUCCUUAAUAUUAUUAAUUGAGCUUUGGCUCAUGUUGGCUGGAUUGUAAAAACUAGGGCACAACGCAGGCCCAGCGGAAAUAGUAAACCCCACUUUCCUUUUAAUUCAAUCAAUUCAAGGCCUAUGCAGUAUAAUUUUAGGCCUGGGCCCAAGGGAAAUAUCGGAAGCCCUGAGCUGGGCAAGGUCUAAAUAAAACACAACAGCAUUUACCUACUUCUUGGGCCCAAGUUUCAAGGCCCAAAAAUGCUAGAAGUCAAAAAAUCCUUUAAAACCUAUAUUAGGAAUAUGGUAAUUAAUUUGCAAUAUGAAUUUAGGUUUUUGAGUAAGGUAGUGGGUUCAAAUUAAGAGGGUCCUCCCUUUUGUUUGAAUUCGGACUUGAACUCGAGGUCUGAAUUUAUAAAUGAGGCCUUUUAGAGACAAAACAUAAAUAGAAAAUCGUAGUUCGCUUUAGGUUAACCUUUAAAUUAUAAAGUGAGAAGAGCCUCGCCAAACUAAAAUGCAUAAAUUGUGGGGCCCUCAUUAAAUGCUUAAUUAAAAAUUAUAAAGUGAGAUGAGCCUCGCCAAACCCAAGGCAUGUCAUUUAGCAAAUUUCACGGCCCUCCGCAAAGAUAAUAACUAUUUAGGCGCGCUUU
rnacentral:lncRNA from 1 species